rnacentral:rRNA from 1 species
UGAACGCUAGCGGCAGGCUUAACACAUGCAAGUCGAGGGGUAUCACGCUUUCGGGCGUAGAGAGACCGGCGCACGGGUGCGUAACGCGUAUGCAAUCUACCUUUGCAGAGGAUAGCCCAGAGAAAUUUUGGAUUAAUACCUCAUAGUAUAGAACAAUCGCAUGAUUGAACUAUUAAAGUCACAACGGCAAAAGAUGAGCAUGCGUCCCAUUAGUUAGUUGGUAAGGUAACGGCUUACCAAGACUACGAUGGGUAGGGGUCCUGAGAGGGAGAUCCCCCACACUGGUACUGAGACACGGACCAGACUCCUACGGGAGGCAGCAGUGAGGAAUAUUGGACAAUGGGCGCAAGCCUGAUCCAGCCAUGCCGCGUGCAGGAUGACGGUCCUAUGGAUUGUAAACUGCUUUUGUACAGGAAGAAACACCUCUACGUGUAGAGACUUGACGGUACUGUAAGAAUAAGGAUCGGCUAACUCCGUG